UACGUAGGGUGCAAGCGUUGUCCGGAAUUAUUGGGCGUAAAGAGCUCGUAGGCGGUUUGUCGCGUCUGCUGUGAAAUCCCGAGGCUCAACCCCGGGCCUGCAGUGGGUACGGGCAGACUAGAGUGCGGUAGGGGAGACUGGAAUUCCUGGUGUAGCGGUGAAAUGCGCAGAUAUCAGGAGGAACACCGGUGGCGAAGGCGGGUCUCUGGGCCGUAACUGACGCUGAGGAGCGAAAGCGUGGGGAGCGAACAGG
rnacentral:rRNA from 1 species